GGGAAAGUAAAGGCCAGUGUUGGAGAAGCCUGAGUGGGUAGGAACUGCCGGUGAUGUCUAGGGCCUGAGGGCAGCCUCCAGCAGACUCCAGUGAAAAGCCGAAAGUCUUCAGGCAUACUACCUGAAGACAAUGAAUCCUGCCAAGUCCCUGAAGGAACUUGAGAGCAGAUUCUUCUCCAGUUAAUCCUCCAGAUGAUGGUGAAGCCUGAGAAACCCCUUGAAACUCUGAGCAGGUGACCCAAACCAGCGGCACCCAGAUUCUGACCCCUGGAAAUGUUUCAGUACCAGGAAAAGGACAACAAUGUUUACCCCACAGGACUGGACAAUAGG
rnacentral:lncRNA from 1 species